rnacentral:rRNA from 1 species
UGCCCACUAGCUAGCUCAAACCACAAAAACAACCUCCCCAUUUUCAUACCCCUAAAUAUUACACAACCACAAAACAAAUCAUUUAUCCACUUUAGUAUAGGUGAUAGAA